GCUCAGGAUGAACGCUGGCGGCGUGCUUAACACAUGCAAGUCGAACGAUGAUCUCCAGCUUGCUGGGGGGAUUAGUGGCGAACGGGUGAGUAACACGUGAGUAACCUGCCCUUGACUCUGGGAUAAGCCUGGGAAACUGGGUCUAAUACCGGAUACGACCGCUCCACGCAUGUGGUGGUGGUGGAAAGCUUUUGCGGUUUUGGAUGGACUCGCGGCCUAUCAGCUUGUUGGUGGGGUAAUGGCCUACCAAGGCGACGACGGGUAGCCGGCCUGAGAGGGUGACCGGCCACACUGGGACUGAGACACGGCCCAGACUCCUACGGGAGGCAGCAGUGGGGAAUAUUGCACAAUGGGCGCAAGCCUGAUGCAGCGACGCCGCGUGAGGGAUGACGGCCUUCGGGUUGUAAACCUCUUCAGUAGGGAAGAAGCGCCGGCUAACUACGUGCC
rnacentral:rRNA from 1 species